ACGAACGCUGGCGGCGUGCUUCACACAUGCAAGUCGAACGGAAAGGCCCUGCUUUUGUGGGGUGCUCGAGUGGCGAACGGGUGAGUAACACGUGAGUAACCUGCCCUUGACUUUGGGAUAACUUCAGGAAACUGGGGCUAAUACCGGAUAGGAGCUCCUGCUGCAUGGUGGGGGUUGGAAAGUUUCGGCGGUUGGGGAUGGACUCGCGGCUUAUCAGCUUGUUGGUGGGGUAGUGGCUUACCAAGGCUUUGACGGGUAGCCGGCCUGAGAGGGUGACCGGCCACAGUGGGACUGAGAUACGGCCCAGACUCCUACGGGAGGCAGCAGUGGGGAAUAUUGCACAAUGGGCGGAAGCCUGAUGCAGCAACGCCGCGUGCGGGAUGACGGCCUUCGGGUUGUAAACCGCUUUCGCCUGUGACGAAGCGUGAGUGACGGUAAUGGGUAAAGAAGCACCGGCUAACUACGUG
rnacentral:rRNA from 1 species